rnacentral:rRNA from 1 species
AUGAACGCUGGCGGCGUGCUUAACACAUGCAAGUCGAACGAAGCAUUUAAGACAGAUUACUUCGGUUUGAGGUCUUUUAUGACUGAGUGGCGGACGGGUGAGUAACGCGUGGGUAACCUGCCUCAUACAGGGGGAUAGCAGCUGGAAACGGCUGGUAAUACCGCAUAAGCGCACAGUACCACAUGGUACAGUGUGAAAAACUCCGGUGGUAUGAGAUGGACCCGCGUCUGAUUAGCUUGUUGGCGGGGUAACGGCCCACCAAGGCGACGAUCAGUAGCCGACCUGAGAGGGUGACCGGCCACAUUGGGACUGAGACACGGCCCAGACUCCUACGGGAAGCAGCAGUGGGGAAUAUUGCACAAUGGAGGAAACUCUGAUGCAGCGACGCCGCGUGAGUGAAGAAGUAGUUCGCUAUGUAAAGCUCUAUCAGCAGGGAAGAUAGUGACGGUACCUGACUAAGAAGCUCCGGCUAAAUACGUG